AUUGAACGCUGGCGGCAGGCCUAACACAUGCAAGUCGAGCGGAUGAAGGGAGCUUGCUCCUGGAUUCAGCGGCGGACGGGUGAGUAAUGCCUAGGAAUCUGCCUGGUAGUGGGGGAUAACGUCCGGAAACGGGCGCUAAUACUGCAUACGUCCUGAGGGAGAAAGUGGGGGAUCUUCGGACCUCACGCUAUCAGAUGAGCCUAGGUCGGAUUAGCUAGUUGGUGGGGUAAAGGCCUACCAAGGCGACGAUCCGUAACUGGUCUGAGAGGAUGAUCAGUCACACUGGAACUGAGACACGGUCCAGACUCCUACGGGAGGCAGCAGUGGGGAAUAUUGGACAAUGGGCGAAAGCCUGAUCCAGCCAUGCCGCGUGUGUGAAGAAGGUCUUCGGAUUGUAAAGCACUUUAAGUUGGGAGGAAGGGCAGUAAGUUAAUACCUUGCUGUUUUGACGUUACCAACAGAAUAAGCCCCGGCUAACUUCGUG
rnacentral:rRNA from 1 species